UACGUAGGGUGCAAGCGUUGUCCGGAAUUAUUGGGCGUAAAGAGCUCGUAGGCGGUUUGUCGCGUCUGCUGUGAAAACUCGGGGCUUAACUCCGGGCCUGCAGUGGGUACGGGCAGACUAGAGUGCGGUAGGGGAGACUGGAAUUCCUGGUGUAGCGGUGAAAUGCGCAGAUAUCAGGAGGAACACCGAUGGCGAAGGCAGUGAUCUGGGCCAGUACUGACGCUGAGGAGCGAAAGCGUGGGUAGCAAACAGG
rnacentral:rRNA from 1 species